AGCGAAAUGCGAUACCUAGUGUGAAUUGCAGAAUUCCGUGAAUCAUCGAGUUUUUGAACGCAAGUUGCGCCUGAGGCUCGUACCGAGGGCAUGUCUGUCUGAGCGUCCA
rnacentral:rRNA from 1 species